UACGUAGGGGGCUAGCGUUGUCCGGAAUCAUUGGGCGUAAAGCGCGUGUAGGCGGCCCGAUAAGUCCGCUGUGAAAGUCCAGGGCUCAACCCUGGGAUGCCGGUGGAUACUGUCGGGCUCGAGUCCGGAAGAGGCGAGUGGGAAUUCCUGGUGUAGCGGUGAAAUGCGCAGAUAUCAGGAGGAAUACCGGUGGCGAAGGCGGCAUCCUGGACCAUUACUGACACUGAACCGCGAAAGCUAGGGGAGCAAACGGGG
rnacentral:rRNA from 1 species